GCGAAAGUGGCGGAACUGGUAGACGCGCAGGUUUCAGGAACCUGUGGGUAACACCGUGGGGGUUCGAGUCCCCCCUUUCGCACCA
rnacentral:tRNA from 1 species